GGCUUCUCACAGGAUCAAGAGGAUGAUCAGAAGGCAAGAGGUAUGGACUCUGCAGCCCGUGUCCUGUGCAAGCUCCCUUCCCCCACCUAGCAACCAAACAGAAGGUUCUAAGUCAAGAAGAAAGAACAGAGAGAGAUACAGGAUGAAAUAAACCCGAAGACCUCGGUCAUGCCCCUGCCUCAGCUGCUCCACACCAAAGAUCCCUGAUGAGUACAGACUCACCAGAGAAGGGCCCAUGUGUGACCCCAUCACCAACAUGUGCUUAGCACCUGAAGAGAGGCUGAAUGUGCACCUGUCAGAGGAAUGAAGAGCAUUCUGGGUGUGUGAACCACAAUGCAUUUGCAAGACCGAAGGGCAGCCUGGGUGCCUGGCUGUGCAUGUGCAGAAUCAAAAUUCAAAGAAGUUCCUGAGAAACCAGGAAAUAACACACAGUUCAAGCCACCAAACACGACUUUCCCAUCAACUAAAUUUCGCCUGAUUCUAUCGUUUUCCCAGAGGACCAGCAGCCAUUUCUGGUUUCAUUCAAUUCCUUUCUUAUUUUAUUUCUAAUUUGUUUUAAAAAAAAAUCCCAUCUAUUGGAUGAAUGCACAUUUAGCAAACAGGAAUAAACGGGCAUCUCUCAUUAGAACAAGAUAGCUUUCAUCUUUCUCCUGGACUUUAGUCCUGUUUUUCCACUUGAUGCUCAUCACUGCGUCCCAGGGAACAAAGACUUGGAAAAAAACGCUGCUGUUUUGGAGUUUGCUCUUGAGAAGCCCUGUGGAGUUAGGCAGAGGACACUCUGGCUGUUGUCUCAUUCUGAGAGGAAACAAGGAAGCUCUCUGGGGUGCUUGCAAAUACCUGCUCUUUUUUAACAUGUUCACCCUAAUUUCUACUCUUUCUGCCUCAUACACAGCUAGCCUGCUCUGGAAUUAAAUAAAUGAAUACAUACGUGUG